UACAGAGGUCUCAAGCGUUGUUCGGAAUCACUGGGCGUAAAGCGUGCGUAGGCUGUUUCGUAAGUCGUGUGUGAAAGGCGCGGGCUCAACCCGCGGACGGCACAUGAUACUGCGAGACUAGAGUAAUGGAGGGGGAACCGGAAUUCUCGGUGUAGCAGUGAAAUGCGUAGAUAUCGAGAGGAACACUCGUGGCGAAGGCGGGUUCCUGGACAUUAACUGACGCUGAGGCACGAAGGCCAGGGGAGCGAAAGGGAUUAGAUACCCUGGUAGUCCACAUCGGGUGCCAGCAGCCGCGGUA
rnacentral:rRNA from 1 species